rnacentral:rRNA from 1 species
AUGAACGCUAGCGGCAGGCUUAACACAUGCAAGUCGAGGGGCAGCAUACCCGGUGACGGGUGAUGGCGACCGGCGGAAGGGUGAGUAACGCGUGAGCAACAUACCCGUAUCAGUGGGAUAAUACAGGGAAACUUGUUCUAAUAUCACAUAAUAUUAUUCAGAGGCAUCUUUGGAUAAUUAAAGUUCAGGCGGAUACGGAAUGGCUCGCGUGACAUUAGCUAGAUGGUAGGGUAAAGGCCUACCAUGGCUAUGAUGUCUAGGGGUUCUGAGAGGGAGGUCCCCCACACUGGAACUGAGACACGGUCCAGACUCCUACGGGAGGCAGCAGUGAGGAAUAUUGGACAAUGGAUGAAAAUCUGAUCCAGCCAUGCCGCGUGCAGGAAGGCGGCCCUAUGGGUUGUAAACUGCUUUUGUACGGGAGCAAUAAGGUCUACGAGUAGAUUGAUGAGAGUACUGUACGAAUAAGCAUCGGCUAACUCCGUG